rnacentral:rRNA from 1 species
UCGGCUGCAGACUGCAGUCGGGCGGCAAGGCAGCAAUGCCCUAGAGCGGCGAACGGGUGCGUAACACGCGAUCAAUCUUCCGUGAAGUUGGGGAUAGCCCCGGGAAACUGGGAUUAAUACCGAAUGUGGACCUCCAAGGCAUCUUGGGGACUCUAAAGCCUGUAACGGCGCUUUAUGAGGAGCUCGCGGCCUAUCAGCUAGUUGGGGGGGUAACGGCCCACCAAGGCGAAGACGGGUAACCGGUCUGAGAGGACGAUCGGUCACACCGGAACUGAGACACGGUCCGGACACCUACGGGUGGCAGCAGUUUCGAAUCAUUCACAAUGGGGGCAACCCUGAUGGUGCGACGCCGCGUGGAGGAUGAAGGUCUUCGGAUUGUAAACUCCUGUCAAGGGGGACUAAAAGUAUGGUUCAUAGCCAUACCUGCAUCAACCCCUAGAGGAAGCAGUGGCUAACUCUGUGCCAGCAGCCGCGGUAAUACAGAGACUGCAAGCGUUACUCGGAAUCACUGGGCGUAAAGGGAGCGCAGGCGGACCGAUGUGUCAGGUGUGAAACCCCGGAGCUCAACUGCGGGACUGCGCCUGAAACUGUCCGUCUAGGGACUCGGAGGGGCCGGUGGAAUUCCUGGUGGAGCAGUGAAAUGCGUAGAUACCAAGAGGAACACCCACGGCGAAGGCAGCCGGCUGGACCAGAUCCGACGCUCACGCUCCAAAGUAUGGGGAGCAAAAAAGAUUAUAUACCCUUGGAAUCCAUACUGUAAACGUUGUCCACUAGGUCUUGGAGCAUUCCAACGCUCCACGGGUUGAGCCUAACCCAUAAAUCCACCGGCCUGAAGACUACCGGCGCAAGGGUAAAA